rnacentral:lncRNA from 1 species
GUGCACUCUGCAGGUUUGUAAUCUUGAUAGGUUGAUUACAAGUGGCAAUUAAUGCAUUCUUUUUUGUUUGCCUUUGUGGAUGAUAAUUUAAGAUGCGAAAAUCUUCUGCCGAAAUUUGAUUAGUACAUGCCCCUUAAGUAGUCUCUAUUUUACAACCCUUAAGAUUCAUCAUCUGAUUUAUAUUAGUUUGAGAAGUUGCGGGUUCUGAGCCCCCCUCUAUUUCCAUUGAACUUUCUUACUUUUUGUUGUCACUUCCAGCUGAUAUGCUUUCAUAAUCUGUAUAGAGAAUUUGCACUUGAAGUUCAGACUCAUAAUGUGUAUGGAGAAUAUUGCAAUUGAAGCUUAGACAGUUUAUGGUUAAACUUUACAGUAAAAUUGAGUAUAACUUGCUGUUGGCCUCAUGUACAGGCACUGACUCGUGCCAGGGUCCCCAUAGUAAAGCUUAUGGAUCCAGUGACUGGAAUUUCC